AAAUAAGAGAACAUGAUGUUGGUUCAGAUCAAAUGCUAUGUAGAGACAUAACACAUGCAAGUUAUAAAAAUACCACUUAAGGGUGGGAAAAAAUAGCGUUAAGGUGAGUGAUAUAAGAUAAAGAAAAAAUCUUAUUCAGAUGUAGGUAAUAGAUAAAAAUCUAGCCAUGGAACUGGAGCCGACGAUAAGCGUCACAACGGCCACAUUGAUGAAAAUCAACUCUUAUAUAGAGCAGCAGUGGGGAAUCUUUGACAAUGGUCUAACGACUGAUCAAGUUAUCUACGAGAAGGAUAUUAAAUAAAAAUCCCGCUUUGCGGGAUAAUAAUAAAUAAUAAAAGAUUAACUAUAAACUUCUAAAUAAUAGUAAUAAUGAUACUAAUUAUGAAAGAGUCCUAACUAAAAUAUGUGCCAGCAGCUGCGGUGUGCGACAAGAAGCUAUUCUUUAUAAUUCAAAAUCUUAUAUUAUUAUCUCUAUAGAUAUUUAAUAAUGGGCCUCCGGCCCAUAUCAAUAAGAUAUUUUGACAUAAUUCGUAACAAAUUUGUACCUAUCUAAACAUGCGUAAAAAGUAAUUUUUAGGUUUGAAGCUUUAGAGAAAAUGUAAUUUAUAAUGCCCGUCCGAAGGACGGGUAUACCCGCCCACCUGAAAGGUGGGCGGGCAUUAAUAUCACUAAAAUUAUAAAUGCUAGGUAAAUUUACUAUGGUUAACUAAAGUUAACUACUCGAUGAGACCUCUUUAGGCUAAAUAUUUAUUGCUCUCAUAUAUAGGCCCGCCUUCGGCGGGCCCAUAUAUAUACUUUAUAAAAGUAUUAUUUUUAUCGAAGCGGGGGCGAUACCCGCCCACCGAAGGUGGGCGGGCAUUUGUGAUAUUAUCCUUUUUAUUCUCGUCAUAAUUGGCGGGUUUAUUUAUGAGAUGAUUUUUAAUAUUGUCAGGAGUCUGGAUAGAAUCACCGUAUGUCUAUCCUGUUAUAGACGUUUGUACUGAUAGGGGUAAAGAGUAGAACCUAAGGUAAAUAAAGUGUAAAGAAUGGAACUUGGUAAGCCUCAUAUUUUCUAUAUAAAUAUGGAAGAUAAUAACCCGCCCCUUUCAGGGGCGGGAUAUAUUAUGUAUAAAUCAUGUUAUUUAUAUAGAGGUUAUUUAUAAAAUAUAAAAUAUGGAAAUAAUAAUAUCGAAUAGGAGGUAAAAGACAACUUAAAAAGCGAAAGCAAUAAUGUAAUGUUAUUGAUAAGUAAAUAACUAACCUGAAAGGGUGCUGACUUAAGGAAAGGGUGUUUUUUUUUAAAGAAGAUGCCUGAGCCGUAUGCGAUGAAAGUCGCAUGUACGGUUCUAAAGGGGGGAAAAUCUGUGAGGAUCUACCUAUCCUAAUUAGACAUAGAGGGCAAGCAUUGAUCAGAAUGGCUUAAAGGAUCUGUAGAACGUAUCUUAAAAAAGAUAUAGAAUAAUAACUUGAAAAAGGAAGGGUAAUAAGAAUUAAAGUUAGAGGGAUAAAAUACUAAGAAAACAUUAAGACUAUAAGGAGAUUACUCAAGAUUAUUGACGUUGUGAGAUGAAGGCUACGGUAGCGACAUGGAUUCGAUACCCAUUUAGUCGUAGCAGUUAACUAUGAGUACAAUAAAAGAAAAAUGAAAAUGAAUAGUACUCCGCCUGACUAGUACGCUCGCAAGGGUGAAAUACAAGACAUUAGACGGUUGUAGUCCCAAGCAGUGGAACAUGUCAUUUAAUUGGAUGAUCCUCCAAGAACCUUACCAUCUCUUGAAUUUUUAACAGGCGUUACAUCGUUGUCGUCAGUUCAUGCCGUGAGGUUUAAUAUUAAGUUAUUGAAUGAACGUAACCCUUUUCUUUAAUGAUAAGUAUAAUUGUAAAAUUAUAGGAAGUAGAGGUAGAAGACUAAUCAUGAUGACCCUAAUGAGAUGGGCUAUCGACGUGUUACAAUAUUAAUAACAAUUUUAUUAACUUCCCCUUUUUGGGUAAGUUAAGAUAUUUAUAUACUUUGUAUAUUUAUUAAAUAUUAAGAUUAUGACAUAGUUUCAUUUAUGAAUUGUAAUCUGAAAUUCGGUUACAUAAAGGAGGAAUUGCUAGUAAUCGUAAACUAGAGUGUUACGGUGAAAUUUUUUGCUACUUCGUACUAACCACUCAUCAACAGCAAGAAAUUUUAUUUAUACUUAUUGAGUCUUUAUUAAAAGGACUUGCUGUAAGUUGAAAUACGGUUCGGUUAGGGGAACCUGAUCGGGAUUUAUUUAUUUA
rnacentral:rRNA from 1 species